GACAGAGGGUGCAAACGUUGUUCGGAAUUACUGGGCGUAAAGCGCGUGUAGGCGGUCAGGCAAGUCGGAUGUGAAAUCCCGUGGCUCAACUACGGAAGUGCACCCGAAACUGCUUGACUUGAGUCCCGGAGAGGAAGGCGGAAUGCUUGGUGUAGAGGUGAAAUUCGUAGAUAUCAAGCGGAACACCGGUGGCGAAGGCGGCCUUCUGGACGAGGACUGACGCUGAGACGCGAAAGCGUGGGGAGCAAACGGG
rnacentral:rRNA from 1 species